GACGAACGCUGGCGGCGUGCUUAACACAUGCAAGUCGAACGGAAAGGCCCUGCCUUUGUGGGGUGCUCGAGUGGCGAACGGGUGACUAACACGUGAGUAACCUGCCCUUGACUUUUGGAUAUCUUCAGGAAACUGGGGCUAAUACCGGAUAGGAGCUCCUGCUGCAUGGUGGGGGUUGGAAAGUUUCGGCGGUUGGGGAUGGACUCGCGGGUUACGUGCUUGUUGGUGGGGUAGUGGCUUACCAAGGCUUUGACGGAUAGCCGGCCGGAGAGGGUGACCGGCAGUGUCGGGUGGGAAUGAGACCCGGGCCAGAUCCGGAAGGGAGGGGGGAGGGGGGAAGAAUGAGGAGGGGGCGGAAGACGGACGAAGGCCCGGCGGGGGGGGGAGGACUGCGGUUGGGGUGCAAACUUCCUUUGACCCGGACGGAGGUGGACGGUAGGGGGAGAAGAAGCACCGGCUAACUACGUG
rnacentral:rRNA from 1 species